GGUCUUAUAGUUUAUAAAGAAUGUUAAAUUGCAAGUUUAAAGGUGUUGGUAAUUAAGGCUU
rnacentral:tRNA from 1 species